rnacentral:lncRNA from 1 species
GGGUAACUGCAUGCUUUUAGUGAUCAGUAAACAUCAAUGAUCAUGUAAUUUAAGGUAGGUGAAGGCACCUAUCCAUUUGAUAUGUAGCUAAGCAAACAACAUCAUUUAGUUUGCUUCAUCAGAGAUGAGGCUUUUGGAAAAAGCUUAGUAUCGGCAAGUCCUCGUCCUGGUAAAGUUGUCGGACUACUUUGUCAUCACGGAAAGCAAAUCAAACAAUAUUUGGAUGUAGCCAUCUAGUCUAUCCCCUGAAAGUUAGCUUGUUAACACCCUUUCUGCCAGUCACAUCCUGUUAUAGGUCCCCAAAACACUCACAUCCCUGGGUCGCUCCUCUUUUCAGUUCGCUGCUGCUAGCGACUGGAACGAGCUGCAACAAACACUCAAACUGGACAGUUUUAUCUCCAUUUCUUCAUUCCAAGACUCAAUCAUGGACACUCUUACUGACCGUUGUGGCUGAUUUGAGUGAUGUAUUGUUGUCUCUACCUUCUUGACCUUUGUGCUGUUGUCUGGGACCAACAAUGUUUGUAUCCUGUUUUGUUUUUCUACCAUGUUCUGCUACCAUGUUGUGUUUCUACCAUGUUGUGUUUCUACCAUGCUGUGGUGUCAUGUGUUGCUGCUAUGCUAUAUUGUUGUCUUAGGUCUCUCUUUUAGUAGUGUUGUCUCUCUUGUCGUGAUGUGAGUUUUGUCCUAUAUAAAUAAGAAUUUGUUCUUAAUUGACUUUCCUAGUUAAAUCAAGGUUAAAUAAAAAAUAAAACAAAUUGACAUUGAUUUGUUAUUAGCUAGCUAGCCAAUUUUACGUGGUCAAUCAAUCAAUUAAUGUAGCCUAUCUUGUCAGCAGAAAUCCUAAUGAAACACUCUUAAAAACAAUAUUGAAAUGGAGAUCAUGUCAGCUAAUUUCUCUAGGUAGGCCUACAUUGGUUUUAGAAAAAAAAAUGACACUAGGUUUACUUACCAGUAUAUGUUUAGCCAACUGUACAAAGUUUCUACCGGUAUCUUGCAAAGUAAACAUAAUCAGUCAUUAUGGCUCGUUUUCACUAACAAGCGGUACAUGACCGUGUGCCGGUUAGGCCACAGAGAGAGGCUCGCUUGUUGGCAGCACAGUUUGAUUGUGGGUCAAGAAUCCAGCAGAGCAAGUUUGUAGGAAGGUCUAGUUACAUUUUAGUCAUUUAGCAGACACUCUUAUCCAGAGCAACUUACAGUAGUGAGUGCAUACAUUUCAUACAUUUUAUUUUUGUACUGGCCCCCUGUGGGAAUUGAACCCACAACCCUGGCGUUGCACACACCAUGCUGGCAUUGCAAACACCAUGCUCUACCAACUGAGCCACAGGGAAGACCAGUUAUUCAAUUGGUAAAUAGUAAUAUGCUCUAAAACGCUCUGGUGACAAACAAACUUCACUGCCCUGUUUCCAAUCGUCCACAUGUCUGGGAGAAGCUAUUCAAGAAGGUAAAUAUAUUUUGAAAAUGUAAAAAAAAAAAAAAAUGUAUUAUUAGCUAACUAGCUACAGUGCAGGCUAACUCAAAUGAGCUGCUAACAUGGCUAACUAGCUAUCUAGCCAACUUUACAUACUGUAUAGAUAGCUAGCUAAUUGAAUUAAAUAUCACCACCUACAUAACUUCAUAUUCGCUAGCUAUCUUGAUGUAUUUAUCACUGUAAAAAUAACUCUAAAUGCAUUUGUAGGUAGCUAGCUAACAGCUAUGGAGGACGGUGACAGGAUAGCAGCCCCAACUGUCAGUGAGAGAGUAGGCUAUUCUGGAUAGACCAAGUACUUUUGUCUAGUUCCUGUCCCUGGAAGUGAGGACAGAGAUAAUAGAAAUGAGGACAGAGAUAAUAGCAACAUAAUAUUUAGUGCAGUCCAUUUGACUAUAAUGAAGUCUGUAUCUUGUGAGGUUUUCUGUCCUCAGAUACAUAGAGCUGUGAAAGCCUGUCAAGCAGAUGAAGAGGUCCCACUGAAGAGUAGUGGCUCUCAGUCCUGGUCCUGUAUUCAUUUGUGAUGCUAUCCUUGAUAUGAUCUUGCUAUUGUCACAUGCACAUUUACGUGUAGGGCACUGCAAGGUUGGGUGACCAGGGCCAUCUGGGACUUCCUCCUGGAGGAAUUCAGAUGUGUGUGAAGGCUACCUGUGUCCUGCAUAACUUCAUGAGGAUGGACAGGAGGACCAGGAGGGGAUCUGCAGCUCGCCGCCGCGUGCCAGAGUAGAAGUCUGCUGCUCUGCAGGAUGUUUCAAGGAUGGGGUCCAACAACGUAGCAAGAGAGGCAAUCCGUGUGCAAGAGAUCUUCACCUCCUACUUCUUCGAAGAGGGUGCUGUUCCCUGGCAACACCAUAGACUACACUAUGCACAACCAAAGGCUCUUUUAAGAGCUAUUCACAUUGCAAUAAGAGUAUUCUUCCAUUUACUGAGCUAUGUCAACUGCAGUUAUUCAAUUCACAGUUUCUCUCCCUUUGAUUUCUACUUCUCAGGUGAGGGUGCUGUUUAGGUAAGGGUGUGAUGUCUGUACAAAAACAAUACAGGCUAUUUUAAGUCACCCAUAUUGAAACAAUUAGACACCCUAUAACCCAUACCUACACAGUCAUGUAUCAAUCUGAUUGAUGGAUUGUGUUGUGUUGUGCAGUAAGCAGGCUCAGGCGUAUAACUGUGGCUCCUUCCACCUUCAAAGAAUAGGCAAGAGGGCCAACCAUGGAGAAUAGUUAUAUCAGCUGUGGUUCGUGAACCCCUCCUGCAUCUGAACUGGCUGACAUAUAGAGGGCACAGCAUGAUCAGAGGUAUGAUUUGAUGUGAGGAUGCCAACCCCCAGUCCUGUCAUCGCCACCUCACCUGCUUGAAGAUAACCUUCGGUCUGACGAGAGACACUAUUAUGUAAUUGUGAUGAACUGAGAGAAUAUUUAGGUAGCACUGUGAUUCAUUAAUCAUUUGCUGCCUUCCCUGCUCCUAUGUUCUUACCUCUUUCCCUUUCUGUCUUUUACACCUCUCUCACCACCUCCUCUUUCUUCCUCUGUUUUUAUAAUGCACAAUAUAGAUGUGCAUUGAAGUAAAGAUAAAACUUACAUUUAUAAUAUAAUAUUCCAAUUAUAAUAUUUAUAAUGCAUGUAUUUAUAACACUUGGAUAAUGAAAUUCUUUCAAUAAAGCAUUUCAAAUUCUCUACUGGUUGAAAUUAAGUCUCAUUUGAUGAAAUACCACACCUAUCCUGUGUUUAUCAGAUCCAUGCAGAUGAAGGAAAUUAGAUAUUGAGAUGACCUGUUGUUAGAGUAUUUACAUGAUGCAUAAGAAGUGUAGUGUGCUGAUUUUUUAAUUAUAUUUCUGUAUAUAUGAAUUACAAAUCGGCCUUUAACUAGUUAAAUCAUGUGUAACCAUUGAUAUCCCAGGACCAAGAUUGGUAAACACUGUUGAAGUGUAUAAUUGUAAUACAUACAUGCAUUGAAGACACGGCAUCAUUCAAAGACUGGAAUUUGAUACUCCUGGUAUUGGAUAUGACUGAAAAAUGAUCUCAAAGACAUUCAUACCUGAACUGCACCUUUAUUUGCCAAGGUAGAGUACAUGAUCAGUGAAUAUUUAUUAUUAUUAUAUAUAUUUUAAAUUUUUCACCCCUUUUUUCUCCCCAAUUUUGUGGUAUCUAAUUGGUAGUUACAGUCUUGUCUCAUCGCUGCAACUCCCGUACGGACUCGGGAGAGGCGAAGGUCGAGAGCCGUGCGUCCUCCGAAACACAAUCCAACCAAGCCGCACUGCUUCUUGACACAACGCCCAUCCAAACCGGAAGCCAUCCGCACCAAUGUGUCGGAGGAAACACCGUACACCUGGCGACAUGUGUCAGCGUGCACUGCGCCUGGCCCGUCACAGAAGUUACUAGUGCGCGAUGAGACAAGGAUAUCCCUGCCGGCCAAACCCUCCCUAACCUGGACGACGCUGGGCCAAUUGCGCACCGCCCCAUGGGCCUCCCAGUCGCGGCCGGCUGCGACAGAGCCUAGACUCGAACCCAGAAUCUCUUAGACCACUGCGCCACUCGGGAGGCCCAUGAUCAGUGAAUAUAUUAAAUGUACAGGCUACAAUGUGGGGAUCUCAUGCAUGGUAAUAACUACAUGUAUAUACGACUUGCAUCCUUGGCACAAAGUGAAAUUAUAUUGUACUCAAUCCAUAGGCUUCAUUAGUGUCAUUCAGGCUGUUUUGAAGUUGAUACAACUGGCUAUGAUAGCUGAGGUUCAUAGCUACGUGGGUGCUGAACUAAUAUGUAUACCAAACGUUUUAAGGUCCAUACACAGAUCGGCUACAUAGCGAGCUACACAUCCAGGUACCUUUAUCCUCCACUGCACAAUAAGCAAGAAAAUAGUUAGCUAGCUAUGUUAUUUCAUCUAUCUGCAUUGCAUGGCAAAAAUCAGCAAGGCAAGCUUACAAAAUUGUACACUCAAUUUGCAGUAAAUGCUUCAGCUAGAUAGAUUCUUUACAUCCACUGUUUCACAAGAUGACUGCCUGGUAUGCUAUCGGUUGAUUCAGGAGUCCCUAAAACAUGAAACAACCAGAAUUACAAUUUCAUACUAGUGUCACCACACCCAUAAAGCUAGCCUGCUGGCUGGCUAAUGUUAGUUAGUCAGCUAGCUUGCUAAAUCACAAUUUUCGUAAAUUAACUUAAUAAUAAAUAAAAAAAAUAUGCGUAAUCGUUUGUCUCUAUAUUAACUAACAUAUUCCUCUCAACUGUACAUUUUUUUGCAUGAUUCGUUAUGACAUUAUAAUCACAUUUGCUUCCAUCCUGGUAUUUUUGUCAGCCAUCUUUGCUGAAGAAAG